rnacentral:rRNA from 1 species
CUUGGUCAUUUAGAGGAAGUAAAAGUCGUAACAAGGUUUCCGUAGGUGAACCUGCGGAAGGAUCAUUAAAGAGUAAGGGUGCUCAGCGCCCGACCUCCAACCCUUUGUUGUUAAAACUACCUUGUUGCUUUGGCGGGACCGCUCGGUUCCGAGCCGCUGGGGAUUCGUCCCAGGCGAGUGCCCGCCAGAGUUAAACCAAACUCUUGUUAUUAAACCGGUCGUCUGAGUUAAAAUUUUGAAUAAAUCAAAACUUUCAACAACGGAUCUCUUGGUUCUCGCAUCGAUGAAGAACGCAGCGAAGUGCGAUAAGUAAUGUGAAUUGCAGAAUUCAGUGAAUCAUCGAAUCUUUGAACGCACAUUGCGCCCCUUGGUAUUCCGAGGGGCAUGCCUGUUCGAGCGUCAUUACACCACUCAAGCUAUGCUUGGUAUUGGGUGUCGUCCUUAGUUGGGCGCGCCUUAAAGACCUCGGCGAGGCCUCACCGGCUUUAGGCGUAGUAGAAUUUAUUCAAUUAACGUCUGUCAAUGGAGAGGACUUCUGCCGACUGAAACCUUUAUUUUUUUACAGGUUGACCUCGGAUCAGGUAGGGAUACCCGCUGAACUUAAGCAUAUCAAUAAGCGGAGGA